GACGAACGCUGGCGGCGUGCUUAACACAUGCAAGUCGAACGGUAAGGCCCUUCGGGGUACACGAGUGGCGAACGGGUGAGUAACACGUGGGUGAUCUGCCCUGCACUUCGGGAUAAGCCUGGGAAACUGGGUCUAAUACCGGAUAGGACCACUGCCUGCAUGGGUGGUGGUGGAAAGCUUUUGCGGUGUGGGAUGGGCCCGCGGCCUAUCGGCUUGUUGGUGGGGUGAUGGCCUACCAAGGCGACGGCGGGUAGCCGGCCUGAGAGGGGACCGGCCAGAGUGGGUCUGGGAUACGGCCCAGGUUGCGACGGGAGGCAGCGGUGGGGAAUAUUGGCCAAUGGGCGCGAGCCUGAUGCAGCGACGCCGCGUGAGGGAUGACGGCCUUCGGGUUGUAAACCUCUUUCAGCACCGACGAAGCGCAAGUGACGGUAGGUGCAGAAGAAGGACCGGCCAACUACGUGCCAGCCGCCGCCGUAA
rnacentral:rRNA from 1 species